rnacentral:rRNA from 1 species
AUACGAAGGGGGCUAGCGUUGUUCGGAAUUACUGGGCGUAAAGCUCGCGUAGGCGGACUGAUCAGUUGGGGGUGAAAUCCCAGGGCUUAACCCUGGAACUGCCUCCAAUACUGUCAGUCUUGAGUUCGGGAGAGGUGAGUGGAAUUCCUAGUGUAGAGGUGAAAGUCGUAGAUAUUAGGAAGAACACCAGUGGCGAAGGCGGCUCACUGGCCCGAUACUGACGCUGAGGCGCGAAAGCGUGGGGAGCAAACAGGAUUAGAAACCCCAGUAGUCC